rnacentral:sRNA from 1 species
AAAAGAAGGGAAAAAA